CCAGCCCACGCCCACUGUUAGUUUUAGUUUUAGUUACUGUUCCAUCUCUUAGCUUCCAGCCUUUUCGUUCCAUGUAAACUUAAUUAAUGAUUUAGGAGUUGGAUUUUGUUUCAUAAUAAAUAUUUGUGAUUGUGAUGUGCUAUGGUGUUGCUGUUGAAUCAAGAACCCGAUUACUUCAAGACUUCUACACCAAAAAAUAUUUAUUCAACGACUAUAAAACCUUCUAAACUUAACCCCUUCCUACUCCCUACUCCUAAAACCACAACCUGAGAAUUCAUAAUUUUGCAUUAAACUGCUUAUAGACUACUGCUAAUAACAUUUUCAAGUAUCUAGGGCCCACAGUUUGAACUUAGAUUUGUAACUCAAUAAAAUUGUUAAUGUGAUUCAUUUUUAGUUCUA